UACGGAGGGUGCAAGCGUUGUUCGGAAUUACUGGGCGUAAAGCGCGUGUAGGCGGACUCAGAAGUCGGGUGUGAAAGCCCCGGGCUUAACUCGGGAAGUGCGCUCGAAACCAUGAGUCUUGAGGUCCGGAGGGGAUCGGGGAAUUCCUGGUGUAGAGGUGAAAUUCGUAGAUAUCAGGAGGAACACCGGCGGCGAAGGCGCCGAUCUGGACGGAUUCUGACGCUGAGACGCGAAAGCGUGGGUAG
rnacentral:rRNA from 1 species